UACGGAGGGUGCGAGCGUUGUCCGGAAUCACUGGGCGUAAAGGGCGCGUAGGUGGCGUCGCAAGUCAACGGUGAAAGCUCGACGCUCAACGUCGAGUCGGCCGUCGAGACUGCGAGGCUUGAGCACUGUAGAGGCAGAUGGAAUUCCGGGUGUAGCGGUGGAAUGCGUAGAGAUCCGGAAGAACACCGGUGGCGAAGGCGGUCUGCUGGGCAGUUGCUGACACUGAGGCGCGACGAGCGUGGGGAGCAAACAGGG
rnacentral:rRNA from 1 species